rnacentral:rRNA from 1 species
GACAGAGGGUGCAAACGUUGUUCGGAAUUACUGGGCGUAAAGCGUGCGUAGACGGUAGCGUAAGUCGGGUGUGAAAGCCCCGGGCUCAACCUGGGAAUGGCAUUCGAGACUGCUCUGCUAGGGUGCGGAAGAGGGGAGCGGAAUUUCCGGUGUAGCGGUGAAAUGCGUAGAUAUCGGAAGGAACACCAGUGGCGAAAGCGGCUCCCUGGUCCAGCACCGACGUUCAGGCACGAAAGCGUGGGGAGCAAACAGG